UGUCCUACAGCAGGUGCGCCUCGCAAGUCUCUACUGCUCAGUAUCUUUCGUCUCAUCAACACGCACCGCAGUAGAUGCACGCCGCAAGCAUGACCAGGUAAAAAACCAGGAUCCAAAAUAUCACGCUGCCAUAUUCCUCACCCAUGAUAUAUUCUACUACCCUCACUAUACUUGAACUAAUUGCACGACGCAAGCAAGGUUGUUUUUUCCAACGUCAACAAUAGAACCCCGAGUAACUUACUGAGAAACACAAUUCCCAAGCUCAUUCCGAAGCUUAUUUUGCUUUUUCCACUCGGUUUGGUUGAUAAUUAAUUUGUAAUGGACUCUUGUCUGUUGAACACAUCAGCAUAUCAACAAG
rnacentral:lncRNA from 1 species